CCUGCACGAAUGGCGUAAUGAUGGCCAGGCUGUCUCCACCCGAGACUCAGUGAAAUUGAACUCGCUGUGAAGAUGCAGUGUACCCGCGGCAAGACGGAAAGACCCCGUGAACCUUUACUAUAGCUUGACACUGAACAUUGAGCCUUGAUGUGUAGGAUAGGUGGGAGGCUUUGAAGUGUGGACGCCAGUCUGCAUGGAGCCGACCUUGAAAUACCACCCUUUAAUGUUUGAUGUUCUAACGUGGACCCGUGAUCCGGGUUGCGGACAGUGUCUGGUGGGUAGUUUGACUGGGGCGGUCUCCUCCUAAAGAGUAACGGAGGAGCACGAAGGUUGGCUAAUCCUGGUCGGACAUCAGGAGGUUAGUGCAAUGGCAUAAGCCAGCUUGACUGCGAGCGUGACGGCGCGAGCAGGUGCGAAAGCAGGUCAUAGUGAUCCGGUGGUUCUGAAUGGAAGGGCCAUCGCUCAACGGAUAAAAGGUACUCCGGGGAUAACAGGCUGAUACCGCCCAAGAGUUCAUAUCGACGGCGGUGUUUGGCACCUCGAUGUCGGCUCAUCACAUCCUGGGGCUGAAGUAGGUCCCAAGGGUAUGGCUGUUCGCCAUUUAAAGUGGUACGCGAGCUGGGUUUAGAACGUCGUGAGACAGUUCGGUCCCUAUCUGCCGUGGGCGCUGGAGAACUGAGGGGGGCUGCUCCUAGUACGAGAGGACCGGAGUGGACGCAUCACUGG
rnacentral:rRNA from 1 species